AACGAACGCUGGCGGCAGGCUUAACACAUGCAAGUCGAACGCAUCCUUCGGGGUGAGUGGCAGACGGGUGAGUAACGCGUGGGAACGUGCCCUUCAGUUCGGGAUAACCCAGGGAAACUUGGGCUAAUACCGGAUACGUGCGAGAGCAGAAAGAUUUAUCGCUGAAGGAUCGGCCCGCGUCUGAUUAGCUAGUUGGUGGGGUAAUGGCCCACCAAGGCGACGAUCAGUAGCUGGUCUGAGAGGAUGAUCCGCCACAUUGGGACUGAGACACGGCCCAAACGCCUACGGGAGGCAGCAGUGGGGAAUAUUGGACAAUGGGCGCAAGCCUGAUCCAGCCAUGCCGCGUGAGUGAUGAAGGCCUUAGGGUUGUAAAGCUCUUUCGUCCGGGACGAUAAUGACGGUACCGGAAGAAGAAGCCCCGGCUAACUUCGUGCCAGCCGCCGCAGUAA
rnacentral:rRNA from 1 species